rnacentral:rRNA from 1 species
AGUGAACGCUGGCGGUAGGCCUAAUACAUGCAAGUCGAACGGCAGCACAGUAAGCUCUUGCUCUUACCGUUGGCGAGUGGCGGGCGGGUGAGGAAUACAUCGGCAUCCACUUUUUCGUGGGUGACAACGGAGGGCAACUUACGCUAAUACCGCAUACGACCUACCGGUGAAAGCAGUGGUUCUUGGCGCCUUUCGCGAUUGAAUUAGACGAUGUCGGAUUAGCUAGUUGGCUUGGUAAAGGCCCACCAAGGCGACGAUCCGUAGCUGAUCUGAGAGGAUGAUCAGCCACACUGGAACUGAGACACGGUCCAGACUCCUACGGGAGGCAGCAGUGGGGAAUAUUGCGCAAUGGGCGCAAGCCUGAUCCAGCCAUACCGCGUGAGUGAAGAAGGCCUUCGGGUUGUAAAGCCCUUUUGUUAGGAAAGAAAAGCAGCAGAUUAAUCCCCCGCUGUUUUGACGGUACCCAAACAAUAAGCCCCGGCUAACUUCGUG